ensembl:rRNA 5S_rRNA 5S ribosomal RNA
GACAUUUGGUAGAGACUGUUGAAGCCACCUGGUCCCACCAGACCCCAGAAAACAGCACAUGCACUGGUGCUGGAACAAAGUCUUUAAGGGUGAAGCCUGGUGCCAGAUGUGU